rnacentral:rRNA from 1 species
UACAGAGGGUGCAAGCGUUGUUCGGAAUUAUUGGGCGUAAAGCGCGUGUAGGCGGCAUUGCAAGUCGGGUGUGAAAGCCCUCAGCUUAACUGAGGAAGUGCGCCCGAAACUGCAGUGCUUGAGUACCGGAGAGGAUGGCGGAAUUCCCCAAGUAGAGGUGAAAUUCGUAGAUAUGGGGAGGAACACCGGUGGCGAAGGCGGCCAUCUGGACGGUAACUGACGCUGAGACGCGAAAGCGUGGGGAGCAAACAGG